rnacentral:rRNA from 1 species
UUAUACCCUUAUAAAAGUAAUUAUGCUAGAACUAGUAACAAGAAAUUGAAUUUCUCCUAAAUGUAAGCAUAACCCAUAUGGACCCCCCCCGGCACUUAACGUCUGUGCAAUCUUUAUAAUAACAUUACUCAAGAAAGCCUUAUUAAAUUAAACGUUUACCUAACCCCAGAACAUUUCAGGAAAGAUUAAAAGAGAGAGAAGGAACUCGGCAAAUUUUAGCCCCGCCUGUUUACCAAAAACAUCGCCUUUUGACAUAAUAUAAGAGGUCCAGCCUGCCCGGUGACAAAGUUUAACGGCUACGGUACCCUGACCGUACGAAGGUAGCAUAAUCACUUGUUCCUUAAAUAGGGACUUGUAUCAACGGCAUCACGAGGGCUGCACUGUCUCCUCUCUCCAAUCAGUGAAACUGAUCUCCCCGUGAAGAAGCGGGGAUUGAACUAUAAGACGAGAAGACCCCAUGGAGCUUUAAACAACGUAUCCACACUAUAUUAGUAUAUCAACUUAAUAAAAGCCCUGAAUACAAGUUUUAGGUUGGGGAGACCGCGGAGUAUAAUCAAACCUCCACGACAGACGGCUCAAGCCCUUAUCCACGAGUUACAACUCUAAGAAUCAGUACUCUGAUGAUUAUGACCCGAUACUAUUCGACUAACGAACUAAGUUACCCUGGGGAUAACAGCGCAAUCUACUUCAAGAGCUCAUAUCGACAAGUAGGUUUACGACCUCGAUGUUGG